rnacentral:lncRNA from 1 species
AGCAUCUCUAUAGGAUGGAGAUAUAGAAAUUCACUGGGGAAAUGGCAUGAUACAGCAGUGGAAUCUAAGAGCUCAGCACAGCGGCUAGCAUCUGGGCAAACGUAUUGACUAUGACUGUCAGUGUGUGUUGUUACACAGCCCAGGAACUGGUAAGUACCCUCACCAGUGAGCAUGACAGGAAGCUUCACUCAAUGAGUAACAAGGGCACUUAGCCCUGAUACACAUUUCCCAUCACACCAAUUCAGGAAGGAAGCUCAAUUAAUACAGGUGAAAAUCCUUAAACCCUGGAGUCACAGCUGGUGUGUGUCUGUCUUUGUGCCUCCUAAGACAUGAAAACAAGUAUUGGAGCCUGCAGAGUGUUUAAAUGGCUAUUGACGUGUUUUUAAUGGCCCUUCAACUCUUACUAUAGGCUUAAUAUUGUGCUAGAUAAGUGCUCUUCGUCUUUCAUUAGGGCUUCUCAGAAACCCUAAUAAGCAAAUAUUAUCUUGGUUUUGCAGAUGUGAAAGCUAAGACUAUGAACCAUGUGUGAUUCCAAACCAAAUAAGCUUGCAGCCAUGGUCUAGGAAGAGGGUGCUGUCCAGUGCAAAUAUUAAGUUGGCUAUCACAGUGGAUAUUUGCUGAGUCUCUUUUCCUAUAGGUUUGCUGAGCAUGUCUGCAGUUUCUCAAUUAUUAUAGAUUUCCUACCAGGAUGAUGGUACACAGAAGGAUAAAGCCAGUAGCGUGGCAUCAGAAUAGCACAGUGUAACUCAGUUAAGCCAUGACUUCAAUUGCUUCUCGGCCUUUUGGCUAAGAUCAAGUGUAGCCAUGACUUCAGGAUGCUAGACUUGGUAGACUCCUUUUACUUGGCCAUCCGAGUAGAAAUAGGAAUAGCUUUAAGAAAAAGAUAGAUUCCCUAAAGGAAUUUGGAAAUAUGGCGUCACUCCCUAGCAAAGCGUAUUAGAAGAAAGCAAGAUACCAUACACUAAUUUUCAGUUUCCAAGGCAGCCAAGUGGAGAACACAUCACAAGAGACAUGGAACAUGGCUUGUUCAUAGAAUGAUGGUACUGUGGCUUCAAAACUGAUCUCGAGUGUUCUAGAAUCUGCCAGAACACCAGGUUCCUUCUCAAUUUAUGUGUACACUUGGAGAGAAAAGAAUGUGUUUGAACAAAAUGGCUGGCUUUCCCAGAACUCUCUUGCCUCUUUUAAACAUUACAUUUGAUAUGAGAAAUAUGGCUUAAGAGCAUGUGAUGCCUCAGGAGGCCCACGCACACACCAGACCACUGUCUUAGUACCGUCGCUGUUGUAAAGGCACAUGUUGAAACACAUCCAGUCCUGCUGACCUGUAGAUAAUUAUUUUUCUCUAAAUGAACUGUACAUUUAUCUUAAAUAAAAAUUUAUUUUUGAGAU